UGUAAUAUACUUCAUACACUCUUGCUAUAAAGUGAGAGCAUAAUCAGAGAAUGAUAUCCAGUGAGCAUGUGACGCGUUUCAGCCAAUGAGAAGCUUUACCUAAACAUGAUGUAAGCACGUAAAUUUUCUUUUUGUUUCACUUUCAAUAUUUAUCAGGUCCUAGUCUUUCUCCCGUUAGACUGUGAUAUAAAUGUAGUUUUGAUGGAUGGAAACCAUUAAGAAAACGACUUGAUUAUGACCGCGCAAAAUUUGAGAAUUUAAGCGAGCAAUGUUUUUGAAAUAUUUGUUACUUCACUUCAAAUUUUGAAUAUCGGAGCAAAAUUUUCUGCCUAUGUUAAAGAUAUACAGAUAUAUAGAGUUGUAGUGAAGGUGAAUGGCACCGAAAAGAAAGCGAGAAGUCCCAAAGAAGGUUGGCAGACAGAGUCAAGGGAAUUAAACUGAACAUUUUGCCCUAUUACGGUAUUAAAUACAUCCAUGUCGAUUGAUGAACAAGAAAAUAAAUUGAACGAUUCUAUAGAAGAUUUUCUACUCAAAGUAAAGAACAGGAGUGAAAGAAUAGUAAAAUGCAUUUAAAAAGCCAAAGCACAGACUGCAAAUGCUUAUAAGAGUCCAAGCAUUAAAGUUGUUAAGGACAAGUCUUUCAUUACCUAAGCACAACCAGUCGUGUCAAAACUAGAUCCCAUCCUUCAAGAUCAUUGGCAUAUCCAAGUUUGCAAGUUUUUUUCCAGCUUUUCCACUACAUCAAUAUAUCAUUCCAGGUCUUGAAAUGUUGUUUUUUACCUUUUUCAGAAUGUACGCCAAAUGAAAUUUAAAGAAUUUCUAAACAACACAGGAAAUGUUGAUUGAGCCAUUACUGCGCAGCAUUGAUGAAAUAUCGGAGACGAGUCUUCGAUACAAAGUUUCCAAAGCAUGACAGACUUCACUUUGCCACAAUUCCUUUACCACCUUUCCGUGAUUUUGUUUGUUGCGAGGUGACAUCGUACAUAACAGAGCUUCAAGCAUCAGGAUCAGUGACUGACAACAUGUCUGUUAAGUCAAGAGUGACGGACGCUGAAGGAGGGAGAAAGUCACUAUCUUACAAUGCCAUUGUCAAAUCUCUCUUGUAAAAUCAAUAGCUCAGAUUUUGAAAUAUGAGCCAGCAAAACUUCUACUACAAUCUGUGUCGUUAUUUCGCUAUGAAACUUUACAAAAACUUCGUUCGUGAAUUGUUCGUGUUAAAAGUAUGAGAGCUCCAAAACCUGGGGAGAGAGUGAUACCUAUGACUGGAUCACCGCUGACCAAUGAUGUUGCACCCUUGGACAACAAUGCUCCCAAGGUCAUCAUACUAUUAACAUGUGGUAAGUUUACAGCUGAUGAUUGUUUUCAACGAGUAUUUGAGAUGUGUUCCAUGUAAAGGCAGGUUUUUGUUCAAAACCUCUCGAAAGUUAUGAACCAGGGGACAUUGUAUUGGUAUAGCUCACAACCUGUUAAAUUAAACACGUUCUAUAAAUAUUUACGAACAAUGUGUGAGGUAGAUUACAUUGACAUGAAAGGUUGAAGAUUUUCAAAUGAUUUUGGAAAGGUUACGUGCCCAACAGCCCUCUAAGAAAAGAACAUUUUCAGUGAUGAACAAACAAGAUGAUGCAAAAGGCCAAGUUCUACUCUGGUUAUGUCAGUUUUAAAAGCACUUCAACAACCUGCUACAGUAGUUGUUUCAAGUCCAUAGAAAAUUGACGUAGAUAAGAAGAAAGAAGCAUGUGUUAGUACGACAAAUACACGACGUACUUUAAAUUUAUUGAACAUGGGAAAACACGUAUGUUGUUACAUUUUAUGUAAUACACAUGUGUUUGCUUUUAACUUUGUGAGCAAUUAUUAGUUUUUCCAAUUUUUUCUUAAGAGUUAUUUUAGUUUUAACAUGAAUAUAUUUACAUCAUCGAGAUGCGUUAGAAACGCGUUAAAUUUCAUCACCUUGUUAGUUAUUCAGAGAUGAAAUGUAAUGUGGAGUUACGACAGUCAUUAGUAUCCUUUAACCUCAUUGGUAUUUUCUAUUUAGAGGAUACUAAUAAAGAAGUGAACAAUAAA